rnacentral:rRNA from 1 species
UACAGAGGUCCCAAGCGUUGUUCGGAUUCACUGGGCGUAAAGGGUGCGUAGGUGGCGGGGUAAGUCUGAUGUGAAAUCUCCGAGCUUAACUCGGAAACUGCAUCGGAUACUGCCUUGCUCGAGGGUUGGAGGGGGGACUGGAAUACUUGGUGUAGCAGUGAAAUGCGUAGAUAUCAAGUGGAACACCAGUGGCGAAGGCGAGUCCCUGGACAACUCCUGACACUGAGGCACGAAAGCUAGGGGAGCAAACGGG